CCUACGGGUGGCAGCAGUCGAGAAUCAUUCACAAUGGGGGAAACCCUGAUGGUGCGACGCCGCGUGGGGGAAUGAAGGUCUUCGGAUUGUAAACCCCUGUCAUGUGGGAGCAAAUUCAAAAGAUAGUACCACAAGAGGAAGAGCCGGCUAACUCUGUGCCAGCAGCCGCGGUAAUACAGGGGUCUAAAGCGUUGUUCGGAAUCACUGGGCGUAAAGCGUGCGUAGGUUGUUUGGUGAGUGGUGUGUGAAAGGCGCGGGCACAACCCGCGGACGGCACAUGAAACUGGGAGACUAGAGUGGUGGAGGGGGAGGCGGAAUGCGCGGUGUAGCAGUGAAAUGCAUAG
rnacentral:rRNA from 1 species